GACGAACGCUGGCGGCGUGCUUAACACAUGCAAGUCGAACGGAGUGGCGAACGGGUGAGUAACACGUGGGUGAUCUGCCUUUCACUUCGGGAUAAUCUUGGGAAACUUGGUCUAUUACCGGAUAGUGCAAGAUGAGCUCGCGGCCUAUCAGCUUGUUGGUGGGGUAAUGGCCUACCAAGGCGUCGACGGGUAGCCGGCCUGAGAGGGUGUAAGGCAACAUUGGGACUGAGAUACGGCGCAGACUGCUACGGGAGGCAGCAGGGGGGAAUAUUGCACAAGGGGGGGAAGCCUGAUGCAGCGACGCCGCGUGGGGGAUGAAGGCCUUCGGGUUAUAAACUCCUUUCGACAGGGACGCGGUACCUGUAGAAGAAGCACCGGCUAACUACGUGCCAGCAGCCGCGGUAAUUC
rnacentral:rRNA from 1 species